CGUGCGCACGCGCCGAAUCCCGCAAGGGAACCGGGGAACCACCAACUUGGGGUGAAUCGAGCGUCUUUCACGGUGGACACACCGUGGGUUGACGCGCGUAGGAGACCUUCCUGCUCCGAACCCGUCAGCUAACCCGGUAGGCGAGAAGGAAGGAAAGG
rfam:Actinobacteria bacterium OK006 ctg179, whole genome shotgun sequence.